AAGAAGUUGAUCAAAACUGAAAACAGUGCUGUAAUGGUUCAUUACGCAACGCAAAUCAGUGCUGUAAUGAACCUUAUAGAGAGUCAAAAAGUACGUGAAACUGCCUAGGGCUCAAGCCCGUUGAACUCGAUUAUCCGAGCGGAGACAUUCACCUGCGGUUGGCCGGCGACGGCACGGCCGCAGGGCACUUGUCUCUCGCACUAGCCAAGAGGACACUGCGAUCCAUUACGAAACAGCUUUCGCGCCGCAAGGCGCAAGGUCGCCCGACAACUGCCCCCUGGUGCUGGUUGCUUGCCCCACAGUAGCGACGCUCAGUUCUGAAGGCCUGUGCCGCGAGGUGGGGCUUACUGCACGUGGUGUUUUGCAGUCGGGCGCGUGAUGGAUUCCCCCGGACACCGGGUGGUCUUCCCGUAAGGGGCCACCGGACUGUCGAUCGGCAGUGAAAGAAUCGAGGUACCUUCGGGACCCGUCUUGAAACACGGACCAAGAAGUCUAUCUUGCGCGCGAGCCAAUGGUCGUCCUCCGGAGCACCAAAGGCGCAGAAAACAUAACUUGAGUUGUGCGGGAUUACGGGCGCGGCUCUCUGCUCGUCCCUCCAUCCCCGGGUGUUGUAAUCGGCAUGCGACUACCGGGAUCCAGGCUUCACGGCCCCCGGCACCGUGCCACAACAUACCGUGAGUGUGCAGGAUGUGACCCGAAAGAUGGUGAACUAUGCCUGAUCA
rnacentral:ncRNA from 1 species